CACUCCAGCCUGGACAACAGAAUGAGACCCUGUCUCUAAAAACAAAAAGCAGUAAGAAAACAGGACCAUCACUCACAGCACCUCUGCCUCUGCCCUCCCUGCUUGAAUGAGGAGCAGGGCGUCUCAGCUGCUCAGAGCAGCCCUUGAAUGAGCCCCAGCUAUUUCUGGGGUCCUCAGACGAAACCUCCCAUGGCCAGGUCAUACCCAACACGGGCCUCCUCCCCUGUUCCGGCACCCGCUCGCAGAUGCUGAGUGACAGAGGCUCAGGUUUCGGGUGUUCCUGGCAAAGCCUCACCCCCGAGGCCCCACAGCUCAGACCCAGUCCUUGGUUCACAUGGCCUCACAUCCAGCCUCUUUUUCCCUUAAGACCGAUUUUUCCUGGGAGGUCACUGGAUCCCUCAUUCAGGUGGAGUGCUUCAGGGUGACACUUUUUCCAGGGGUGAGCCAGGCCUGCAGAAUCCCAGUGUCACAAGCAGGCCUUGCCUGAGCCUCCACCUGACCCCCUGCUCCUCCUCUCCCACAGGGAAUGUGACGUCCUCUUCCCCGGGCACAUCCACCUGCAGAGGGCCCAGCCCAUCCACUGGAGACACUGGAUUAUGAGAACUCAACUUUGGGGCCAUCACUCUCAACAGCAUGGAUGCCACCAGUGAGCGGGACUUGCUGGGAAAUCCUGCAAGGGCAUAAAACUGAAGUAAAUGGAUUGGAUGGAACUGGAGUCAAGGGUGACUCCUGGAUUUACAUAACAGGCAUCCCACAACCAUGGCUGGCAGAUGCCAAGGGGAUGUGUGAGAUGGCCCAGCUCCAGGACAGGCAUGUGGCACCCAUGAAACUCAACUGGAGGGAAGUUGGGGAGAGCCUCACAGCGCUGGACAAGCCAUUGGAUGGCACUGCCCCAGGGACACACCCAGUGGCGGGGACCGGGAUAUGGAGGACCUAAGGCAAAGGGUGGCUUAAAACGUGACAGCGGAUCUGCCGCUGGGGAAAUGCAAGAGGGGAUUUGACAGCUGGGCCAGAUGUUCCAGGACAGCAGUUUCCAAAAGAUUUUCCAUCCAAACUUCCAGCAAGAAGUAGAUCUUCCACUGUAACCCAGAGCAUAUCUGCGCAUUCAGGUAACUGAAGCAACAUUCCGGGAACCGUCACCAUCCCUCCCGUGGAACAGCUCGCUCUCCAGCUGGAGUCAGCUCUAGGCGGCCUCACUUUAACAAAAGGUUAGCUGCAGCCAUUGGAAUGAAUUUCAUGCGCUCUAUGAGUUGCAGUGCAAAAUUCGAAUAGUGGCAGUUGAAGCUCAGUAUCAUCAAGGAUUCAUUUACUUUAUGAUGGUUAACAACAUUUUCCAAGCCACACUAACCAGGCCAGUUAGUAAUAAUAAUAAUGAUAAUCGGGCGGGCGCGAUGGCCCACGCCUGUAAUCCCCGCUCUUU